rnacentral:rRNA from 1 species
AUUGAACGCUGGCGGCAUGCUUUACACAUGCAAGUCGAACGGUAACAGGUUAAGCUGACGAGUGGCGAACGGGUGAGUAAUGCAUCGGAACGUGCCCGAUCGUGGGGGAUAACGCAGCGAAAGCUGCGCUAAUACCGCAUACGAUCUGAGGAUGAAAGCGGGGGACCGUAAGGCCUCGCGCGAUCGGAGCGGCCGAUGUCAGAUUAGGUAGUUGGUGGGGUAAAGGCCCACCAAGCCGACGAUCUGUAGCUGGUCUGAGAGGACGACCAGCCACACUGGGACUGAGACACGGCCCAGACUCCUACGGGAGGCAGCAGUGGGGAAUUGUGGACAAUGGGCGAAAGCCUGACCCAGCAAUGCCGCGUGCAGGAAGAAGGCCUUCGGGUUGUAAACUGCUUUUGUACGGAGCGAAAAGGCCCUUUCUAAUACAAGGGGCUCAUGACGGUACCGUAAGGAUAAGCACCGGCUAACUACGUGCCAGCAGCCGCGGUAA